ACCAGGCACGGUGGCUUGUGCCUAUAAUCCCUGUUAAUGGGGAAGUGGAGACUGUAAAUUUCUAGAGCUCUGGAGUUCGGAGCUGCAAUAGGACUAAAGCUGAUUGGGUGUCCACACUAAAGCUGACACCAAUAUUGUGAAGUCCUGGGAGCAGGGGCCUAAAGAGGGGUGAACCAAUAUAGGUCAGAAAUGGAGCAACACAAAAAUUCCAUGUCAGCCAGCAGUGGGUUCAGGGCCAUAACUAGCUGCUGCCUUCAAGCCUGGAAAAAAUAGGGAUACUGUCUCCAU
rnacentral:SRP_RNA from 1 species